rnacentral:lncRNA from 1 species
GACUUAAGGGGAAAAUUAACUAUAAAGUACAUGUCAUAUUAAAAAUUGUGUCCAGAAAUUUAUAUAUGUAUUUUUAAAUUUAAUAAAGAAAUUUUCUAAUAAUUAUUUUAAGACAAUUUUUAACAAUUGACAGGUGGAUAAAAGCACAAUUUACAUGCCUAUUUUCUAGUGGUUAAAAUGGACGGUGGCUGCCCCUAAUUAAUGAGUAAAACAAGAGUCAAAGAAGAAACAAAACAGAGCAGCUCAGCAGCAUGCCAAUUGCCAAAUCAAUAAAGCCACAAUCCAAAACAAAAAACAGAAAAAAUAAAAGAAAAUGAAACGAUUCUUUUCUUUCUAAUCUAUUCCCUAACCCUAACAAGUAACACCCUAACCAGUAGCCUCCAAGGCUCCAAAAGUCUCCAACUCAUCUCAACAAAAAUGGCCGAAUCUCUAUCUCUACUGCUGUUGAAACUUCAAGCUUCAAAUGGUGUCCUCAAUAGUUAAUUCUAAAGAACAUAUUUGCACUGCACUGCAGAUUCAAGACAAACAAGCAAAAAUCAAGACAAAAUUUCAGGUACUACUUACUUGAAAAUUAUCGAUCUCUGAAGUCUGAAUGUGCAAGUGAUUAGGGCAGGCCGGCAGGGUUUGCUUUUCAGAUUCAAGUCCUCGGCAGUCGGCUCCUCCUUGCUUUCAUCUGCUGCUUGUUGUUUGCCCAUAUAUAAGAAACAGAAUUUCAUAUUUCUUUUUCUAUUGCUUUUGAGUUUUGAAACUUUUGAUUACUUUUUUCUGUUUUUUUUACUUCUUUUUAGUUUUUUUGAUUGAAAGCUCUCUGAUUUUGCACUUUGCGGGUAGGGGAAUAUAUUCCCUUUUGUUUUUCAUUGUUUCUGUUGAUAUUUUUGUUUGAGGGGAUGACUUUUUUUUAACUUACUGUAACGGAAAAUAACGGGAAUAGCGGCCCGUUAUUGCCGCAAUUGGCCGUUACCCGUUAAAUUGCAGCCGCGACCCACCGCUAUUGGCGU